AAACACAGAGGGAGAGAAAUGUAUUCAUGGAGUCAAUAAAACUGCAGCUUUGACACGCUCCUUCUCCAUUAACAGGCCUUAAUUCAAUUUAACCUCAACUUUGCCAACAGAGAGCUUAGCAGACUUUAUGACAUUGCGUGUGCGACUACAGAGCUUUUAGCCUCCGCAUGUAAAGAGAGACAUUAUUGCGCCGGGCUAUUUUAGUCCAUGGUGAGUGGUUUACAAUGCCCAAUAGCGUUGUGGUCUGGUCUCAGGUUGGAAAGCGAUCCUCAGUCAUCCACAGACAGCGGCGGUCCUGGAGGAUGUGAGGAAAGCCGAGCAGGGGUAUUGAUGUGGAGAAGUGCUAAUACUUUUUACUAGUGGAACAGUCAAUUCCCUGGCUGAAUUUAGUAGCAAUUUCCUCCGGGGACACGUCUCUGCGAGUACAUAUUUACUCUGAAAUCCCUUAAAGAAGACGCUAAAUAAUUCAGGGCUCAGGAAGUUGUAUCAGCGAAACCGUGAACGUCAGGCCUCGUUUUGUCUGUUGAAAUGGUGAGUUUUUAGGCCAACGAUUCCUUGGAGAAGUGUUCAUACCACUUGAACCUUUUUUUCUAGAUUCAUAUUUUUAUUCUGAUUGUUUGCCUGAGGUCAAUGCAAAAUAAGCCCGGGGUUGUGGUUGUGGAAUUAAAAUGACACCAUUUGCACUAUUCCCAUGAUGUAAAAUCGCAGCGGCAGCAUUAUGGUGUGGGGAAGCUGUCAAUAGAAAAAGAGUUCAAGAAAAACCCGCUAGAGACUGUAAAAGACUCAAGAUUUUUGGUGUUCUUUCAAUAACAGCUUUCUAUUAAGGGAAGUUUUGUGGAUUGCAAAAUUUUUUGGAUCCGCUUAACAGACGUCUAAGAUCUCUGCAGCUUCUCCACAGUUACCAUGUAGGCUGCCUUGUUUUGGUCAUUUUCAAUCGCUCUUCAUUUUUUGUCGCGUGAUCCUCUAAUGUUAUCGAACAAAUCUCUAAAUGUGUUUACAGAAAAUCCGUUUUUAUCCUGACACUAAAUGGUGGAUUUCAUUUAAGAGUAUCCAAGCAAAUGAGAUUUAAUACAAAUGUUAAGCCACAAUUUUCAUCAUGAAAAAAAAAAGAAAGAAACGAAGAAAAUCAUGCGUUCCUCCGUCACUCCACAGCCGUGCGCUACUUUGAGUUGGCAUGCGUUCAAAAAGGCCAUUGAAGUUUGUGGGUGUAAUACAAAAAGAUUGAAGGGGCGUGAAUACUUUUGCAACGUGCCGUGGAGGUGUGGAGUGCGGGCUUGGAAGAACAGCAAGAGCAGGAAGUGGCAGCGAGACAAAGUAACAAAGAUAAAAAAGGAAGCAGGCAGAGAAUGAAAGGGAGAAGGAGGUGGAUAUGGUGAUGUCCCCUAAGAUGGUCUCCACUUCAUAUGUGUGGAGACCUCAGCAUGCUGGCAUCUCUCUCGCUGUGACAGCACCCAGGACACAGAGCUGGCUCAGCAGAGCCGCUGUUUGGCUUUUCAUCCGACUGUUUGUUGUAAUCAGAAAGAAAAGAGGAAGAUGUGCUGGAGGGGGUGCGGGGGGGUGGUUGCAUCUCCUGGAGUCUGGGACUGUAUAGAGUGUGAGAGCGCUGAUGGUCCGGAGGACAAGAACCUGCGGGGAGAGGCGGGCGAGCGGGAGGCCUCUGUGAAGCCAGGGGGCCUUUUUGGGGUGGGACUGGGUCUGGGCUGGCCCUGCUUUGUAAUGUGAACCCCAGGGGGAAUGAAGCCGUAAUAGGAGAGGAGAGGUCACUGUAAGGUCACCGGGCAUGCUUUGCUCCCUGCAUUCCUCCACCUUGGUACACUACAAUUAAGAAGUGACACUGGAAGGCCCCCAGUGGAGGCAGGAAGAGGAGAGGGCCCCGACCGACUGAUAGCCGGUCUCAUCGGUUGAAACCUGUGCCAUCUAUCGUUUUAAAAUCUCACUACUUGGGUCGUAAAAUAAAUAAAACAUUCAGGGUGGGAGGGCAUGAUGGGUGCCCCCGGCCUCCAUAUAACCCAGAGCAGCUCCUGUUAAAAGGCCCAGCAGAUGUUUUUUGACACUGUAAACUGGUAAUCUCUUCUCUUGUAAGCUGCUGUCAUUUCAUUAAGUAGAUCCGAAAGCCCCCUCCUCUACCCCCCCUGUUUAUUAACAAGAGUGGUAAAACCAUCUGAAGACAAUAACUGAGGAACAGACUGAGCCCCUGUCCUGCCAUCUCUGCAUGCCUGCCUCCUGAAUAGGCUUUGCAUUUCUGUUAUGGCACAGUAGUCCUGCUCAAUGGCUGGCCAUAAUUAAGUACCAAAUAUACCAUAUUGUGUGGCUGUGUAAUCAAAUCAAGAGAGGGUAAUAUUCCUCUGUAUUAAGCUAUUAAUGUAAUUGUUCAUGAAGCAUAAAAUAUGUUACGUAAUUAAAUCGUCUCAAAAUUAUAUAGACGUAUAUUAAGAAUUAGUCAACCUGAGCAAAUGUUGUCUCUGUGUGACUGUUUUAGGGAACAUUGCUUCCUGAUUUUUUAUUUUUUUUCUUUACAGGCGCCAUUAGCGGAGACAGGAGGGGAUGAGACCGAACGUCGUUCUGAAGACAGAAAGAAAGCCGGCACCGGAGGGGUGAAAUGAUCUCUGUCGGAAGAAUUGCUGCUGUGACCCUUUGGAAAAUCCAGUCUGCAUUUACAUAUAAAGGAUUCUUUUAAUCAAGAUGCAACAGAAGGUCGUUGACCUACAGGCCUAGCGCAAAGCAUGAUGGCUCCCCGGCUCAGAGGCUGUUGACAAGCGUCUGUGUUCUUUUCAACAACUCGUUGAACCACCCCCCCUCAACCUUCCCUUCUCAGGAAUGUAACACAACCGCUUACUGAGGUAACCUAAGCCCCUCCCCUCUCCCCAUCCUUCAUUUACAGCAAGCGAGAGAGACAGAGACCAACUGGGGGUGUUAGACAGCUGUCCUCCAUCUCAUCAUCUAACUCUUGCUCCCGCUCUAUUUCUCCUCCUCUCUUUGGAUUUGCUUCUAGCCCACUGCCUGUGGAAUAAUUAAUGAUGCAAUUGAGCUGAAGAGAGGACUCUGAUCAGCAGGGGCCAUUCGUGAAUGCCUGUGUAACCGUUUUAUGCGGGAAUGGAAAAUAGAAUCUGAGAAAGGUAUGAUGAGACAGAUAGGCAAGAGAAGGAGAAGGACAUAACACAGUUGGACGAUGAAAGGGGUAGAUUGUUAAUAGUCUGUUCACCCUAAAAUCUGCCAUGGCUCACUCAAGUUUAAUCCUCCAUUCCCAUCCCCCCUUCUCCUCUUGUCCGUCCUCAUGGCAGAAUUGGGGGGCCUGACCUGUCUGGUGAUUGAUGGUAAUGUCUCAGGAAGUCAUUUUCCCCGACAGCACCCCGCCGCCUUUCACCAGGCCUGGUGCAGAGAGUCGUCCCCCUGCCUGCCCGCCGUUGUGCAGGAGUCAGAGUGAGCCGUACUGGAGCAGGACAGACAGGACAGGCCCAGGAGACUAACCGAGGUUUGAAAAGCUGAGCUCCUCUGGGAACAGAGUCCUGAUGUGCUGCUGCUUGUUCUGCCGCGGAGGCGAGUCCAACCGCCGGUGCCUGUGAACGGGGCCCUUUUAUCUGCUAAGUUUUUAGAGGGAAGGCGGGCUGUUUUCUCAAACAGCUUGGAGCUGAAAACAGCAGACAGAAACACACAAGACCCUUCAGACUCAGGGCUCCACUCGAGGCCUACUCAGCGUCAGCUGUUUGCCGGAUGGCAAUCAGAUGAAGAGCUUGGAGAAUUACUCAGAAGAGGGGUGAGAAGACAGGGCGAACAAUGAACCAUGCGUCGGAUUUAACCCUGAGGAGUGAGCCCGGAGUGUCCAUGUCUCUGCUCUGAUUGUGAUGCGUUCGCUCCCGGGGCCGCUGAUCAACACAUGGCAGCCGGAGCGGUUGUUGAAGUAAUUUUUUUUUUUUUUUUUUUUUUUGCUCUCAACACUGUGUAUGCUAAAUAAAAUCACUAAUGUGGGAAAAGCCCAUCAAUCCCCUUGUCUUUGUCAAAUGCAACCCGAAAGCAAGGAAGAAAGAGUGAUGAAAAUCCCCGGCUCCCUGAGUGCAUUAUGUAUUUAAGCGGAGUUCGGCUGUGUGCUCUCAGGAAGAGCCGUUGUUGUGUUAAUAGAAGAAAAUGACUGGGUUGUACUUCCUCACAGUGAUGGCGAGGCAGAGGACAGAGCUGAAGAUCUACGCUGGCUUACUUAUUCCAUCUGAGCCUCUCCAGCCACAGCAUGGUUUUAAUGCAACGGCCGAAUCGAUAGGACUUAAUUUAGCUAUCAUUGCAGAGUAAUGUGUCAUUUUUAAUGGUGCUGGCACUAAAUUAAAUUCAAAGACACCUCAGCUAAUGGCAUAAAAGGGAAUGAUAUUUUGCUGUGAUUUGCUACCCCAAGGAUUUAAUGUGCCUGUAUGCUGAGAUAUAGAUGGAGAUUUGUUAGCUUCCCUCUUAAAGACUAAAAUGAGGACUGCAGCACUUUCAGACCUAGUAAAAAUAAUACAGAGGAUACUUUGGACUAGAUCACACAUACCUUUUUUUUAUUUCAACGGGCAGUUUGUCAUUUUUAAUUGAGUUAAGUUACGCGUGUAGUUUAGAUUGGCCCUGGUGGCUAAAGCUAAUGGCUAAUAGGUAAAGGCCAAGACUCACAAGAAUUUCAACUGCCUUAGACAACUCCAAUCUCAAAAAACAUUAUAAUCAGUGUAUGCAAACUCUGUUUUAUUGCCCUUCAAAUGUAAUGCAUUAAUCAGCAGAAGGUUAUUUAUUGUUUGUUUUGGUCAGGGGUCAUAAUCUUACAAGAGUCGACUGGUUUAAACAGGAAUCAGAAUCAAGGCGUAACAUAUAAUCUUCAGAGAAUAAUAUACAAAAUAAACUAAAUUAUGAUUGACAUUAAAGCAUUUUAUUGCUCAUUAUUCAGAUAAUUAAUUUAAAUGCUUAACUACCCAGAAAAACUGGUAUGCUGAAGUUUAAGCACAUUACAAAGUGGUUUAUUUGUGAUUAGGAAAUUAUGAAGCGAUAAAAUGACAAUCCUAGAAAUGGAAUGCGGUUACAAAUUGUAAGGAAGUGAAAUCUACUGGAUCUUAAAUCAUUGUAGACUUUGCAUUGAACAGUUUAUGAGUUGUUUUUUUUUUUUUUUUUUAAAGGAAAUAAAAGUGGCAGGCAGUGAAUUUCCAAAGUGUUUCCUGUCUCAAACCCAUACAGGCAAAAGAAGUUUUUCAGCUCAGACUAAUUGUCUCACAUCAAACUAAAGCAGUGUAAGAAUCCAACAAUUACCAUUGUUAAAUUAAUAAUAAUUAGGUGAUAUUUUCAUACAUUGCUUUACUUUCAUAUUGGAUUGUUACUCUGCCUGAAAACGCUUUAAAUGUUCCAUUCUCAAAAUGCGUUUCACACAGGAAGAAUCUUGGCGAUGCACCAUCUCCGACCUCCAUUUCCUGUGUAAAUAUUAAUUGAGCUCUGUGUAAAAACCUGCCCAAUGCAAAUGUAACGUGGCUUAAAGGUUCAUAAAACCUUGUUGUGAUAAACCACUCUAAAAUCUAAUGAAGACACCAAGAGCCCCAUCAACAAUUUUCUGUCUCUCAAGACAUUGACAUUUUACACCAGAGGUUAGUAUCCAUAUAUGUAUUUAUAUCCACAAUACAUACUACUGAGUGCGGUUUGUUUAUGGGCACCAAACGGUGGUAUAAAGGGACGAAACGGCAACAUGUGGGUACGGAUUGACUUGGAGCCUCCGCCUCAUGUCGGAUUACAGUGCCUGCUGUGACUAAGGCGAUCUGCCCCAGAGCAGUGGCUGUGAAAACCAGGUGGAUUUUGGUGUAGGUUUGAUAUUACCUGCUCUUUACCUUUUACCAGUACUGAACUAUCCCUUCAGUGCCUGUAAUUGAACCUCUGCCCACGAUCUUUGUGAGCAAAACAAGACCACAAAUAUCAAAACAAGCAUGUUUUAACUUUCCACGUUACACGAGGUAACAAAAGCAACAGCCUCUCCUCCCCAUGAAUAAUUUAGAGGGCCUCCGCGAGCUGCAGCGGGUGCAUCAUCAGACGGCGCACAACACAAACACACACAACCAUUUUGUCACAAGCCCCGUGGGUCUGGUAAAGUUCAAACAAGUUGCAAGGAGAAAAAAAAGAGAGAUUGUGUCACCCAAAUAAUCUUCAACCUACACCAAAAAACAGAGGAAGCAGCAAAUGCUUCCAGCCCAUGUGACUAUUCCCUGAAGCUGGGCAUAAUUAGGAGUCAAACAUGGUUCACUCUAUGCUCUUCACUAAUUGUGUUAAAGAGCAGUGUUACUGGGAGGAGGAGGUGGAAGAAGAGGAGGAGGAGGAGAAUCCUGGCUCGCAAGUACAGAUACACGCACAGGCUAGUACACACACAUACAAAUACACAACAGGACUGGAUAGAGAGUAAGAUACAAAAGAAGCACGGUCUCUAGAGACAAGCUUUUGCUGGUCUUUGCAACUGGCGGCUGAUAAUACAAGUUGUAAUUAAUAUAAAAGCAGGAGACAAUAUGGGAAGAGAGGCUGGCAGUGCAGCGGGGCCACAGGAGAGCAGGGAGAAGCUUGCUGCUGUCCCAUGUUUCUCAUUUACAAACACCUGCCUGGCACAAUUUUACUGUCCCCCCACCGCGCUCUGCCUACAUCCCUAGGAAUUUCAAAUAAAAUUGAUUUAGCAGCAUCAUUGAAUUUCACUUAAAUUCCCUGGAAACCCGGAGAGGAGAGAGAGCAACAUCUCUUUGUGCUGUUUGUUGGCGUGUGUGAACCGCUGUGUGUGCUCUGCAGCUACAUGGGUGUACAUACACAGAACAGCUAGCACACAGGGAUGUAGAUCAUACAGAGGCUUGACGUCUCAAGAUGCACAUUAACGUAAACAGAGAAAGAAACAAAAUUGGCUUUCAUGUUUUUUUUUGUUUGUUUUUUUACUUGCUUUUGUUGGAUUAGGUUCAUAAUUAUGUGCAGCCACUUUACAAAAUUAUGAAGUACCCCUACUAGGUGCUUUACAGCACCCUGGUUAUUGAGGAAAGAGUCCUUAAUUUAGCAGCUAAUAAAUCACAACUGUAUGUUAUAAGCAGACAGGAGGAAUUAAUUUAUUCCUGACAACUUUCUUUUAACCGGAAUGCAGGAGCCACAAUAUGCAACCAUAUUUAUCUUCAGAAAAAAAAAAAAAAAAAAAGGUUUUGAAACGUGACUCAUGAACUGGCAUAAACAUAAAUGUAAUUUCCAAAUAAGAAUAGACGUAUAAAUGUCAGAAUAACACUAACAUUUCCAUUUCAUUGCUUGUUUUUAUUAGUUCCAGCAAAUAAGUCAUAAACAUAGAUUUUUUUACACUAUCAUUAGCCGCAUAUCAUGUCAUUUAAUCCAAGCUGAUUCCAGAAGUGUCACGAUAUUAAAAUGCAGGCUGUAAAAUGGUUUAUUGCAUUCAUUUUCGCUGCAGAAAAUAAGUGGAGUGUGGGAGAUGCAACAGGUGAGGAUGAUUAGAUAUGGCUUACAACGAGCAUCCGCGUCUGAACCGUGACCAAAAGUGAAAUUCAAGGCCACAAAAAUUAAGAAAUCACUACACAAAGGGCUUAAGUAAACAAUGCACUGAGCUUCAGGGCGCCGCGAUGUGCGGAAACAGACCAGACCAAAGCACCUAUCUCCACUGAAAGGGCUCAAAAUGAACUAUUGCAUUUGCUUUCUCACUUUACAGCUCAGCACCCCGAACCUGCACCAGGGAAUCCAAACAGAAACGGUUUGUUUUACUUUCUCCCAUGCCUGCCAUGCACUGCUGAGAUAAGCUGCACUAUAACUAUGGGAACAAGUAAAACUCCCCGAGGAAAGCUCUACAAAACAAAACGCCGGGACCAGAAAAUCACGCAGAAUUUUUUAUGAAGCAAAUUUUAAACUGUGCGGAAACUCAUUCAUUUCAGUCUGCAAGUAAAAGGGGAAAAAAGAGAGCUGCAUGCUAAUACGAAGACACAAUGGCACAAGAAGACAUAAAGACUAAUUCAUUAGAGCAGAUAAUACUCAGAGACUGUUAAUUGUAUUUGUCACCCUAAUUGGAUGUAGUACAGAGAGAAAAAAAAAAGAAAUUUUGUUCAUUAAUUAUACAGACAUGAAAGGCACACACUGGCCAUAUACAGAACCUACACUGCUUUUUUUUUCUUCUUCUUCUUCUUCUUAUCAGUCUUUGUGUGUAAUCCGGCAUCUUUUUUUCUUUCCCUAAAUGGGAUGGAGGGAAAUAUGGAGGGGCAAUGAGUUGGGAAGCCCUGGGUGGGCUUACAUAUCUGAGAUAGCCACAGCCGGGCGAGUAAGGGAAAUCAACAGUGUCAGCAAGGCCUCAUCCUGUUCUCACUAUACUAUAAUCCAAUCAUCUGCAAGACAGUGCUGCAUUCAAGUGUAAAUAAAAGUGUGCUUAUUAUUCUCCACCGUCAGGUAUAAGGAGGGGGAGGCAGAGCGAUGGGGAAGGAGACACGCGGCAAAGAGCUUCAUCAUCUAGAGAAAAACCAACUUUCUUUUCCAAAUGAGACGUAGCCCGGGGCUGUAUAUUAAAAAUGCAUAUCAAAGCAAAGAGAGAGGAAAAAAUGGACGUGAGAGAUUCUAACUAAAUAAAUUAGCAUAUCUAACUAUCAAACCAGCUUCCUCUCCUCAGUGAGACAAGGACAGAAAUUAAUAAUAAAUCAGAGCGAGAGUGAAUAAAUAGAAUGGGGGGGGGGAACUUGUAAGUUGUGGAUGGGGCUUCAUCUUAUGAUAGAAAUAGCAACUAUUGUGCUCAUUCAUACAUUCUAUUGUGCAAUAUUUAUCUCUAAAACAAUAACUUAUAUAACCUAAUAAAAUCAAUGUUACAACUCAGGAAAGAGAUUAUACUGCAAAUCUGUCAGUUUCGCCUACAUGUAGGUGAAUAUUUCUGAUUUAUUCUAUGAACUAUUGAUAACUUCUAUCCCAAUUUUCUAAUUUCUAGUUUUCUUAUAAAAACAUCAUCACCGUGAGCAUUUGCUUGCAGACAAUGACAAAGUUGCAGUUUACAAAACUAAAAAAAAAACUAAAGAAAAAUAAAAAUAAAAUUCCCAGUUCAUGUUCAUUUUAAACAACACAAUACUACUGGGAGUUGGAAGUAAAUAUUUGACGGAAUAACCAUGAGUUUUAAUUACAACAUGUCUCAUGUUCAUCCAGUCAGAACCUCAAUAGCAUUGGAAUUCACUGCACUGAUAUUUUAUAAGGCUUUCAUACAUAAGGAAAGUCUGAUUUAAUAAACAAAAAAAAAAAAAAAUAUAUAUA